GUUUUUUUAGGUUUAGACUUU
rnacentral:miRNA from 1 species